GAUGAACGCUAGCUACAGGCUUAACACAUGCAAGUCGAGGGGAAACGACAUCGAAAGCUUGCUUUUGAUGGGCGUCGACCGGCGCACGGGUGAGUAACGCGUAUCCAACCUGCCCACCACUUGGGGAUAACCUUGCGAAAGUAAGACUAAUACCCAAUGAUAUCUCUAGAAGGCAUCUGAAAGAGAUUAAAGAUUUAUCGGUGAUGGAUGGGGAUGCGUCUGAUUAGCUUGUUGGCGGGGUAACGGCCCACCAAGGCUACGAUCAGUAGGGGUUCUGAGAGGAAGGUCCCCCACAUUGGAACUGAGACACGGUCCAAACUCCUACGGGAGGCAGCAGUGAGGAAUAUUGGUCAAUGGACGGAAGUCUGAACCAGCCAAGUAGCGUGCAGGACGACGGCCCUAUGGGUUGUAAACUGCUUUUAUAUGGGGAUAAAAGUGGGCCACGUGUGGCUUAUUGCAGGUACCAUAUGAAUAAGGACCGGCUAAUUCCGUG
rnacentral:rRNA from 1 species